UUAGAUAGGAAAACUUAAUUCAGAAAUCGUGUUGCGAACUAAGGUAUCAAGUCCUUCGAUGUUCUGGUGCACUGAGGUAAACACCAUGCAAUUCGAUUUGAGAAGGUAGAAUGAGGCUGUUAGCACGGAGGACUACUAGCCUACAGACACAUUAGAUAUUGUGCAUCCCGUUCGUAACAUGUUAUAAGAUUACUGAAAAUAUUGUCAAGUGAUAUUAUCUCAACCCCAUGUGUUGCCCUACAAGUCUUGCUAGCUCAAAGAGAGAACCAGCAAUGCAUGCCCUUCUCCAGUAGAGAAAACUUAUGCUUUGCAGUAUGUAACUUUAUACCUUGUAGUCAUGCUUGACCAUUCAUAUUUAUUUUUACUGUAUGGUAGCGAGCGUAUGUAUUGAAAAUCUAGGAAGUAAUCCUGAUCAUUGCCCUUUAUUUGCAGAGUUCUGGAAAGCACUAUCAUGCUGAAACAGAAACACAGAUGACUCUGCCAUCCAACAGUUACCCUCUGAAUGAUAACAUGUAUUGUAUGACAUGGGAAACUAACAUGGUAUGUACAGUACCUCUUGUCUAUUUUCGCUUCUUAAAUAGUAUCAAUUUUCUACCUGCUUGUUCUAGUUAUAUUUUAAAUCCCCUGUAGCAAUGAUAUGGUAUCAUUUCCUUGAAACCCCGAGUGAACACUGCUAGUCCUGAUCUUACCUUGACCUCUGAGUUGAGCUAACCAAAUUACUAGUGAAGCGACAUGAUGUUUUCUGAUACAAAACAUUAUAAGAGCUAAGCUAAGCCUACAUCAUUCUUGAGAAAUUUUACCAGUUAGGUUUUUGGCUUGACGAUAACCUUCUUACUGCUGCAUUCCAUUUACAUGACUAAGUAAGUAAUAGCAACUUUACUUUGAACAGACUAAUGACAACGAGUCAUCACUGGAGCCUUUUACCCCGUGGGAGGAAUUUUAUACAGCAUCUGCAUAUGAUCAUACUCAAGAUGGACAUUAAUCAUCCCCUGGUAUUUUCUGAACACGAUUCAACUGUUGAUGUAUGUGUUGUACCGUGCUUGUUGGCCCAUCAGUUAUUUCUUCUGUCUCAACACAGUUACUAAUUGUUUGUCGAUGCCACAAAUGGAUAUUAAUUAACAGAUCAGAACUAAAUAGACAAGUUUUAAAGAUUUGGCCUUCAUUCCAGUUACCAAUAUUUUCUUUGGAUAGCAUUUCGUAGAGAGUUUUUAGUUUUCAAAAUUGAUGAGUAAAACUUUAAGCACAUUGAGCAUAUUGCAGGAAACAAGACGAGAUGCUGGAGACACGAGGGUAUUGGUGCGUGCAAGAUACAGUGUGGAUCGACUUUGGGUACUUGCCUUCUGGAGAGUUUUGAGACUGCGAGAUAUGCCAUAUAAGUAGCCAAGCAUAUCUCUACAUUUAUAUUUUAAAUUGAAAUAGCAUUUUGGACAUUUUUACCCUGUCCCUGGAACAAUUUUGUCCUUUGGCAUCAUCGUUUCCCUGAGAGUUUUGAGGCUACGAUAUGACAUAUGAGCAGCUAUGCAUAUCUUCUAUCAUUGCAUUUUUUGACUUUGUCCUGUUUUAACGAUGCUAGACAAGUGUAUAUGUGCUACCUGCUGGUUGAACGAUCUCUAUGUCCAUGUUUAUUAUAUGUUAUUCUGUAUGAUUCCUGGUAGGUACUCGUAUGAGCAAUAGAAUGUGAAAGAAACUUAUAGACCAACACUUGUAUUGAUUGCUUAUUUUUGGACAAACUUGUAUUGAUU
rnacentral:lncRNA from 1 species